rnacentral:rRNA from 1 species
CCUACGGGAGGCUGCAGUGGGGAAUAUUGGACAAUGGGGGCAACCCUGAUCCAGCCAUGCCGCGUGUGUGAAGAAGGCCCUCGGGUUGUAAAGCACUUUCAGUGAGGAAGAACGCCUGGUGGUUAAUACCCAUCAGGAAAGACAUCACUCACAGAAGAAGCACCGGCUAACUCCGUGCCAGCAGCCGCGGUAAUACGGAGGGUGCGAGCGUUAAUCGGAAUUACUGGGCGUAAAGCGCGCGUAGGUGGCUUGAUAAGCCGGUUGUGAAAGCCCCGGGCUCAACCUGGGAAUAGCAUCCGGAACUGUCAAGCUAGAGUGCAGGAGAGGAAGGUAGAAUUCCCGGUGUAGCGGUGAAAUGCGUAGAGAUCGGGAGGAAUACCAGUGGCGAAGGCGGCCUUCUGGACUGACACUGACACUGAGGUGCGAAAGCGUGGGUAGCAAACAGGAUUAGAUACCCUAGUAGUC